UUAGAUAUAUGUGCUAUUGCAUAUUGUCUUCUAAUCUGAAGCAAAUCUCUUUUCCUUGAAGCUGAGGAGGUAAAGAAACUAAAGUCUCGUGUCAGUGCUCUUGAGGGAAUAUCCUCCUCCAUGAAAGCUCACACGAGUCGUCUGUCCGCUCCUAUUGAUGACAUUGGCAUAUAUAAAGAAGCUGGAAGUAAAGCGGCUUAUGUUAAUUCACUGGAUUCUGCAGUUUAUUCAGACAAUUCUGUACUGCAAAGAAAUGUACAGCAAAUACUUAGAGCAGAGCUGCAGUCUGAAGCCAUGAAAGCCUUCCUUGCUUCUUCAGUUAAAGCUGAAAGAGGACUUCCAGGGCCUAAAGGUGACACUGGAUCUCCAGGAACAAAGGGUUUGUACAAUUUUAAAACUGGCUGUGAAAAGUCUGUUAGUUGAACUAUAUGUUUAUAUUGAUCUGCUUACAGUCUUAAACAUGAAAACUUAAAACAAUUUUAACUGUUUUUCAGGAGAUAAUGGUUUUCCAGGCCUUCCAGGUAUGAAUAAUGUUUGAUCCUCUGUAGAGCUAAUCUUAACAGUUGUGCAGAAUGAAGUCUUAACAGAUUUCAUUGCUUUUUGAUGUGCAUCUCUAGGUCCACCAGGAAUGCCAGGACAUCCAGGAAGAGAAGGACAAAAAGGAAGUGCAGGUACCUGAAACAUUAGGCAGCACUUUUAUUUUGUGGGAAAAUCAUUCACCAUCAUUAAUUCUGUGUUUAAAUCACAAAGUAAAUUAACAAGUAGCCCAAAAGAUAAGGCCUAGAGGUUAAGGUUUAGAAAUACAGUCCAUAAAUGCUGCAUCUGACAGGUGCUAAUACUGUAGCACUAACAAAUAACUUUAAAUAGUCAAUUCUUACAAUCCAGUUGACAGACUAGGCCCUACCUACAUUCAAGAUACAUCUCUUCUGUGAACACUUGACUCAGUCCUGUUAAUGCUCUUAGUUCUUUUGAAAAAAAGAAUGAACCUUUUCCAGAUGUUGCCUCAUCAAAACCUUAAAAUGUGUAUGACAGGUGAACGUGGUCCAGAAGGACCACCAGGUUUCAGAGCAAGAGAUGGUCAGCCUGGACCCCGUGGAGAGCCAGGACCCCCAGGGGCCGGAGAGAAGGGUGAAAGGGGUAUUCCUGGUCCUCCUGGCUCUCCUGGUCUUGUUGGUCCACCUGGGCCUAAAGGUCCCAGUGGUUUACAUGGUGAACAAGGCCCUCAAGGCUUCAGAGGUGAACAUGGCCCUGCCGGUGCUAAAGGUGUGUAUCACAAUGAACACUUGGUGUGUUUUCACAAAGCAUUACAGUACGUAUAUGAAUAA
rnacentral:lncRNA from 1 species